rnacentral:rRNA from 1 species
CCUACGGGUGGCUGCAGUGAGGAAUAUUGGUCAAUGGACGAGAGCCUGAACCAGCCAAGUAGCGUGAAGGAUGACUGCCCUACGGGUUGUAAACUUCUUUUAUAAGGGAAUAAAGUGAUGCACGUGUGCCUUUUUGUAUGUACUUUAUGAAUAAGGAUCGGCUAACUCCGUGCCAGCAGCCGCGGUAAUACGGAGGAUCCGAGCGUUAUCCGGAUUUAUUGGGUUUAAAGGGAGCGUAGGUGGGUUGUUAAGUCAGUUGUGAAAGUUUGCGGCUCAACCGUAAAAUUGCAAUUGAUACUGGCAGUCUUGAGUACAGUAGAGGUGGGCGGAAUUCGUGGUGUAGCGGUGAAAUGCUUAGAUAUCACGAAGAACUCCGAUUGCGAAGGCAGCUCACUGGACUGCAACUGACACUGAGGCUCGAAAGUGUGGGUAUCAAACAGGAUUAGAUACCCUAGUAGUC